AGUGAACGCUGGCGGUAGGCCUAACACAUGCAAGUCGAACGGCAGCACAGUAAGAGCUUGCUCUUACGGGUGGCGAGUGGCGGACGGGUGAGGAAUACAUCGGAAUCUACUUUUUCGUGGGGGAUAACGUAGGGAAACUUACGCUAAUACCGCAUACGACCUACGGGUGAAAGCAGGGGAUCUUCGGACCUUGCGCGAUUGAAUGAGCCGAUGUCGGAUUAGCUAGUUGGCGGGGUAAAGGCCCACCAAGGCGACGAUCCGUAGCUGGUCUGAGAGGAUGAUCAGCCACACUGGAAGUGAGACACGGUCCAGACUCCUACGGGAGGCAGCAGUGGGGAAUAUUGGACAAUGGGCGCAAGCCUGAUCCAGCCAUACCGCGUGGGUCAAGAAGGCCUUCGGGUUGUAAAGCCCUGUUGUUGGGAAAGAAAAGCAGCAGGUUAAUACCCCGCUGUUCUGACGGUACCCAAAGAAUAAGCACCGGCUAACUUCGUG
rnacentral:rRNA from 1 species